rnacentral:rRNA from 1 species
CAUUUGAGCUAACUAGCACUAGCUUGGCUUCUGUAUCAUAAGAUGAUGAGGGGUAGUUAGGGGUGAUAGGCCUCUCAAAUUUGGUGAUAGCUUGAUUCUUUCGAAAGGUUAAGUACGACUGCAAAUUAGAAGUGAUAAGAUUUCUAAUAAUUAUCAAUUUAAAUUACUAUCAUUUAUUGAUUUAAUUGUCGGUGUGUUAAUAUGGAUAUUAGUUGUUUAUAGCUCAUAGGGAGAAGUAAGUAACGUUGCGUCAUAUUUAUAAUGUUGAUAUUAGUAUUAGGUGUCAUUAGUGAACUCGGCUACAGGGCUUUCAACUGUUUACCAAAAACAUAGCUGCGUGAUAUUACUCUCAGUUUUUUCUGCUCAAUGAGUCAUUAAAUAGCCGCAGUACCCUGACUGUGCAAAGGUAGCGUAAUCAGUUGUCUUCUAAUUAAAGUCUCGUAUGAAAGAAUAUAUGGGGGCCCACUUUACCAAUGACAGAAGAAGAACUUAAUGAGCGAGUGCAAAUGCUCGCAGUACAUAAAAGACGAGAAGACCCUAGAAAUUUUUAUAUUUUUGUUGGGGCAACAUAGUAACAAGUAAUUUACUAUAUGUAUAUGAAAUAAGUUAGUUAGCACAAAUUACUCUAGGGAUAACAGCAUAAUUUAAAAGUUUGUGACCUCGAUGUUGGAUUAGGAAGUUAUAAUUUAAAAGGUUGUUAAUUUCGCUCUGUUCGAGC